rnacentral:rRNA from 1 species
UACAGAGGGUGCGAGCGUUAAUCGGAAUUACUGGGCGUAAAGCGUGCGUAGACGGCUAUCUAAGUCGGGUGUGAAAGCCCCCGGGCUCAACCUGGGAAUUGCAUUCGAGACUGAAUAGCUAGGGUACGGUAGAGGGAAGCGGAAUUUCCGGUGUAGCGGUGAAAUGCGUAGAUAUCGGAAGGAACAUCAGUGGCGAAAGCGGACUUCCUGGAC